rnacentral:rRNA from 1 species
GCACAGGUGGUGCAUGGCUGUCGUCAGCUCGUGUCGUGAGAUGUUGGGUUAAGUCCCGCAACGAGCGCAACCCUUGUCCUAUGUUGCCGGCGGGUAAUGCCGGGGACUCGUAGGAGACUGCCGGGGUCAACUCGGAGGAAGGUGGGGACGACGUCAAGUCAUCAUGCCCCUUACAUCCAGGGCUGCACACAUGCUACAAUGGCUGGUACAACGGGCUGCUAAUCCGCGAGGAGGAGCUAAUCCCCAAAGCCAGUCUCAGUUCGGAUCGCAGUCUACAACUCGACUGCGUGAAGUCGGAGUCGCUAGUAAUCCCGGAUCAGCAACGCCGGGGUGAAUACGUUCCCGGGCCUUGUACACACCGCCCGUCACACCACGAAAGUCGGCAACACCCGAAGCCGGUGGCCCAACCUUUUAGGAGGGAGCCGUCGAAGGUGGGGUCGGUGAUUGGGGUGAAGUCGUAACAAGGUAACCGU